rnacentral:lncRNA from 1 species
CCCUGGAAGGACGCAGCCUUUAGUGUGGCUUCCAAGAGCCAGGACUUCGGAGCCGGAACACUCCUGUUCCCACCUGCAUGACCAUGGGCGGGAUACUGAACCCCGCUAUACCUCAGUUUCCUCCUCUGUAAAAUAACGAUAAUAAUACUUACCUCAUAGGAUUGUACCUUGUAUCAAAUGAGACAGUAUAGGUAAAGCUCUUUCGGACAACAUGCCAGUUACCUCGUGCUAGGUAGUACUAAUUUAAUUUCCUCAGGUGGAUCUCACCGAAUUCUUCAAAAUAACCUUGAGAACCUCAUUCUUUUAAUAUUUUGGGAGCAGUUAUUCUUUAUGGUAAAGCGUUUUAAAUUCCUCUUACUGCAGGCUACUACCCAGUGAUCCAUCAUCCUCUCUGGCCUUCUCAAAGGAUGUUCUAGAUAAGCUCCUUGAGUUCAAAUAGCCAGGUCGCUCAACAAUGUGUGCACCCCCAGACUCUACUCCACCCCAUCCCCCUCAGUGCCCAGGCCAGACCCCUGGCUUUUGCUUUCUGCAAACCCCCAACUAGAGUGGCCAGGUUCUCCCAGCAUGGGAUUUCUCCUGUAUCUUCCUUGACAACUUCUCUUCCCUGCCCCCGCUCACUCCCACCAUUUAUCUUAAAUUCCUCUCCCAACAUUGAAAAAUGUAAUGAAGUUAUUGUAAACAAUGAAGCAAUUCAAGAGUACAGAGAGGGAAGAAAACAUCCUCCCUCCACUAAUAAAUGGUAGCAGGUUGACGUGUGUUCUUCCAUGCCUUUCCCCGUGCUGUUACACACAUAUACACACAUACAUAUAUGGAGGUUGGCUUUGGGUUUCGCUUUGUUUCAUUUCUGCAAAAUUGUAAUAUGUAUUUCUCUGCAACCAAAUUCCUCAAGAGCAAUAGUUAAAUAUCUCCUUUUAAAUGGUGACAUAAUUCCUUCUAUUGAUGAAUAUUUA